rnacentral:rRNA from 1 species
ACUUCGGGUGGCAGCAGUAGGGAAUAUUGCUCAAUGGGGGAAACCCUGAAGCAGCAACGCCGCGUGGAGGAUGAAGGUUUUCGGAUUGUAAACUCCUUUUGUUAGAGAAGAUAAUGACGGUAUCUAACGAAUAAGCACCGGCUAACUCCGUGCCAGCCGGCGCGGUAAUACGGAGGGUGCAAGCGUUACUCGGAAUGACUGGGCGUAAAGCGCGCGUAGGCGGGAUAGCAAGUCAGAUGUGAAAUCCUAUGGCUUAACCAUAGAACUGCAUUUGAAACUGUUAUUCUAGAGUAUGGGAGAGGUAGGUGGAAUUCUUGGUGUAGGGGUAAAAUCCGUAGAGAUCAAGAGGAAUACUCAUUGCGAAGGCGACCUGCUAGAACAUAACUGACGCUGAUGCGCGAAAGCGUGGGGAGCAAACAGGAUUAGAUACCCGGGUAGUC